rnacentral:rRNA from 1 species
UAGGGAAUCUUCCGCAAUGGACGCAAGUCUGACGGAGCAACGCCGCGUGAGUGAAGAAGGAUUUCGGUUCGUAAAACUCUGUUGUUAGAGAAGAACAGCGCAUAGAGUAACUGUUAUGCGUGUGACGGUAUCUAACCAGAAAGCCACGGCUAACUACGUGCCAGCAGCCGCGGUAAUACGUAGGUGGCAAGCGUUGUCCGGAUUUAUUGGGCGUAAAGCGAGCGCAGGCGGUCAAUUAAGUCUGAUGUGAAAGCCCCCGGCUCAACCGGGGAGGGUCAUUGGAAACUGGUUGACUUGAGUGCAGAAGAGGAGAGUGGAAUUCCAUGUGUAGCGGUGAAAUGCGUAGAUAUAUGGAGGAACACCAGUGGCGAAGGCGACUCACUGGUCUGUAACUGACGCUGAGGUUCGAAAGCGUGGGUAGCAAACAGG